rnacentral:rRNA from 1 species
UACGUGAAACCGUUCAGGGGUAAACCUGAGAAACCCGAAAGGUCGAAAGGGGAAAUUCAGCGUGUCUCGGUCGCGGCGCCGGGCGGUCGAGCGACGGGCGGCGUACGCGUCGUCCGCAUCUUCCGUCCUCCGAACCGCGGUCGAACGCGUGCACUUUUCCCCCAGUAGGACGUCGCGAUCCGUUGGGUGUCGGUCUAAGGGCCGCGGUGGAGCCCGUCCGGACGGUUUACCGUUCCGGACGAACCCGCGGUUUCCCGGCCGGCUCGCCCGACGGUAUGGAAAAGGCGCGAGGCCGCUACACAGUUAGCGUCUGACCCGCGGCAAGCGCGCCCGUCGUUUCGGUGAUCGGACCUGGUCCGGUCCCGGACCCGGGUGGCUGUUCGCUGCGGAGCUCUCGGACAGACCUCGUUGAAACGCCGAUCUGCGACGCUAUAGCUUUGGGUACUUUCAGGACCCGUCUUGAAACACGGACCAAGGAGUCUAGCAUGUGCGCGAGUCAUUGGGACACGAUUAAACCUAAAGGCGCAAUGAAAGUGAAGGUCCGCCUUGCGCGGACCGAGGGAGGAUGGGCGGCCGUUUCGGCUGUCGCCCCGCACUCCCGGGGCGUCUCGUUCUCAUCGCGAGAAGAGGCGCACCAAGAGCGUACACGCUGGGACCCGAAAGAUGGUGAACUAUGCCUGGUCAGGACGAAGUCAGGGGAAACCCUGAUGGAGGUCCGUAGCGAUUCUGACGUGCAAAUCGAUCGUCGGAA